UGAGGAAUAUUGGACAAUGGGCGCAAGCCUGAUCCAGCCAUGCCGCGUGCAGGAUGACGGUCCUAUGGAUUGUAAACUGCUUUUAUACAGGAAGAAACCCUCCGACGUGUCGGAGCUUGACGGUACUGUAAGAAUAAGGAUCGGCUAACUCCGUGCCAGCAGCCGCGGUAAUACGGAGGAUCCAAGCGUUAUCCGGAAUCAUUGGGUUUAAAGGGUCCGUAGGCGGUCAGAUAAGUCAGUGGUGAAAGCCCAUCGCUCAACGGUGGAACGGCCAUUGAUACUGUCUGACUUGAAUUAUUAGGAAGUAACUAGAAUAUGUAGUGUAGCGGUGAAAUGCUUAGAGAUUACAUGGAAUACCAAUUGCGAAGGCAGGUUACUACUAAUGGAUUGACGCUGAUGGACGAAAGCGUGGGUAGCGAACA
rnacentral:rRNA from 1 species